rnacentral:rRNA from 1 species
AUUGAACGCUGGCGGCAGGCCUAACACAUGCAAGUCGAGCGAGAAAGCCCUUCGGGGUGAGGUAGAGCGGCGGACGGGUGAGUAACGCGUAGGAAUCUACCCAGUAUGGGGGACAACUUGGGGAAACUCAAGCUAAUACCGCAUACGCCCUACGGGGGAAAGCGGGGGACCUUCGGGCCUCGUGCUAUUGGAUGAGCCUGCGUCGGAUUAGCUAGUUGGUGGGGUAAGAGCCUACCAAGGCGACGAUCCGUAGCUGGUCUGAGAGGAUGAUCAGCCACACUGGAACUGAGACACGGUCCAGACUCCUACGGGAGGCAGCAGUGGGGAAUAUUGCGCAAUGGGGGGCAACCCUGACGCAGCCAUGCCGCGUGUGUGAAGAAGGCCCUAGGGUUGUAAAGCACUUUCACUUGGGAAGAAAAGCUCACAGUUAAUACCUGUGAGCCGUGACAUUACCUUGAGAAGAAGCACCGGCUAACUCCGUG